rnacentral:snRNA from 1 species
GGAUGUGAGGACGAUAAUGGCUGUGGUAUCUGUCAGUCUAGGGUUGAUGUGGCUGAUCUGGCUGGCUAGGUGGGCGUCCCCUUCCUCCCUCACUGUUCCAUGUGCUUCCCUCCUGAAGCUGCACGGUUGGUCAAAGAGGACGACCUUCCCCAAUAGAGGAGAACUGUUCUUCAGUCAAGAGUAUAUGAGUAGCUGUGUUCACCUCCUAAAACCUCCAAACAAGCUCUCAAGAAAGUAAAGAAGCAACUCACAGAAUGGGGAAAAAAAUUUGCAAAGUAUUU